GAUGAACGCUGGCGGCGUGCUUAACACAUGCCAGUCGAACGGAAAGGCUCCUGCUUGCAGGGGUACUCGAGUGGCGAACGGGUGAGUAACACGUGGGUGAUCUGCCCUGCACUUCGGGAUAAGCCUGGGAAACUGGGUCUAAUACCGGAUAGGACCACAUUUUGGAUGGUGUGGUGGAAAGUUUUUCGGUGUGGGAUGAGCUCGCGGCCUAUCAGCUUGUUGGUGGGGUAAUGGCCUACCAAGGCGUCGACGGGUAGCCGGCCUGAGAGGGUGUACGGCCACAUUGGGACUGAGAUACGGCCCGGACCCCUACGGGAGGCAGCAGUGGGGAAUAUUGCACAAUGGGCGGAAGCCUGAUGCAGCGACGCCGCGUGGGGGAUGACGGCCUUCGGGUUGUAAACUCCUUUCGCUAGGGACGAAGCGCAAGUGACGGUACCUGGAGAAGAAGCACCAGCUAACUACGUG
rnacentral:rRNA from 1 species